GAUGAACGCUAGCGGCAGGCUUAAUACAUGCAAGUCGAGGGGCAGCACGAGUAGCAAUACUUGGUGGCGACCGGCGCACGGGUGCGUAACACGUAUACAAUCUGCCUUUUACAGGGGAAUAGCCCGGAGAAAUUCGGAUUAAUGCCCCAUAAUAAGUUGAAUGGCAUCAUUUGAUUUUGAAAGCUCAGGCGGUAAAAGAUGAGUAUGCGUCCUAUUAGCUAGUUGGUGAGGUAACGGCUCACCAAGGCGACGAUAGGUAGGGGAUCUGAGAGGACUACCCCCCACACUGGUACUGAGACACGGACCAGACUCCUACGGGAGGCAGCAGUAAGGAAUAUUGGUCAAUGGAGGCAACUCUGAACCAGCCAUGCCGCGUGCAGGAAGACGGUCCUAUGGAUUGUAAACUGCUUUUAUACGGGAGAAAACCCCGGUACGUGUACCGGGUUGAUAGUACUGUAAGAAUAAGGAUCGGCUAACUUCGUGCCAGCAGCCGCGGUAAUAC
rnacentral:rRNA from 1 species